rnacentral:tRNA from 1 species
GGAGAGUACCGCUCAUGGGAGCAAGCCGCCUUGAAAGCGGUAGGCAGGCGAAAGCCUGGGAGUUCGAUUCUUCUACUCUCCGC